rnacentral:lncRNA from 10 species
GAAGAGUGUGCUUGCUUCCCCUUCCGCCAUGAUUAUAAGUUUCCCAAGGCCUUGCCAGCUUGCAGAACUGAAAAGAAGAGGAGGGCUCCUCUGAGACCUCAUUGGAUGCAUUUCCCAGCUUAGCCCAAGUGUGGGCUGCUCAUGGGGUGUUGUGAGGGUGCGGGGAUGGUUUGAAGGGCAAACGUGUCAGUGCGCUUCCGGGACCCCUCUCCAAGCCAGGCACCCAAACGCAGGACCGGGGACUCAGUCUACUCAUGAGGACGAAGCUCAGCUUGGAAACCCAGAUGCUCCACCUCCUCAGAACUCCUUCCAGCGAUGCGGGGACAAGGUGAUGCAGCCCCCUUCCCGUUGUCUGAACUUCAGCAGGUGCAGAGUGAGCACUUUGGUUGGAAAUUCUUGACUGCGAGCUGUCUCCUGGGCUUCCCUCACAGGGGCCCCACAGUGCCCCAACCCUCCAGCAGGUGCCUGGACCCACUGCCAUGCUGUUUCACUUGCCAAAAUCAGGGGAAUUCCUUUUCCUGGCUGGGCCUUUUCUUCUUUCCCAGUGAGCUGGGAGGUGAAAAUUUUAGGACUCUAUGAACAGAGACCAGUCAAGGCUCCUUAUGGUUUUGUCCUUACUGCCCUUGAUUUUCAGUCCAAAACCAUUUUCAAGGACAACCUGCCAUGACCUCCACUGGCUCAGCGUUCUGCCUGAAGGAGAGCUGCCUUCAGCAGCAGAUCUCAGUUGCCCACCUUUUGGAGGUGGACCAAGGGGUCUUGCCUGCAACCAAAUGACAACCUCAAAGUGGACCAGGUGUUUUCCUUACCUCAUUUAUAACCUGGGGUGUAAAUGAUUGGCAGUGGAAGGUCAAGCCGUAACUCCUGUGAUGAAUUGGGGCAGGUUAAAUGGACUGAUCUGUUUCUGUUCAUCCAUAGUAACAUCAUGCAGCCGCCCAGCAACAUAUUUGAACAAGAGUUUUGCAAUCAUCACACGCAAAAUCUUUCUGUUGGAAAAAGGCACGCAUAUACCUUGGUAGAAUAUAUUUGUUAAUUGCUAUUUGUUAGCUUCAUCUUUUCUUCAAAAUAGAGGAGAAAUUAUUACUUUGAUAAUGGGUAGAGGGGUUUCAGGCUUAAAAAGAGGAAAUUUCCAAGGAUAUUAAGAAUAAACACAGCAGCCAGGCGUGGUGGCUCAGGCCUGUAAUCCCAGCACUUUGGGAGGCCGAGGUGGGCAGAACACGAGGUCAGGAGAUCGAGACCGCCUGGCUAACCCGGUGAAGCCCCGUCUCUACUAAAAAUACAAAAAUUAGCCGGGUGUGGUGGCGGGUGCCUGUAGUCCCAGCUACUCCGGAGGCUGAGGCAGGAGAAUGGCCUGAACAUGGGAGGUGGAGCUUGCAGUGAGCCGAGAUCGCACCACUGCACUCCAGCCUGGGCGACAAAGCGAGACUUUGUCAAAAAAAAAAAAUAAUAAUAAUAAUAAACACAGCAGGGCAAAAACUGCUGUCUGCCAUCUGCAGCCACACAUGAUGCUGGUUAUUGAGGAGAGUGUGUCCAUCUGGAAUCAGAUGCAAUUGCUGAGGGAACUGCUGAUGCUUGUAUACCAUGGCAUGUGAUACAUGGAAGCAGACAAUAACAACACAGAAUCACUGGAUAUUUGUGGAGAAUCAGCACCUCGAAGGAAAGAAAGUAUUUCAAGCAAUCAAUAUAAAUACCUAUCCCUACAUAUUAUAGAGUUAUUUCAGGAAACAAGAAAUAAGACAAUUAUAAGUAGUAUUCUUAGAAAUAUCCAGGCAUGGCCUGGCGCAGUGGCUCAGGCCGGUAAUCUCAGCACUUUGG